rnacentral:rRNA from 1 species
CGGGGUGAGUAAUGUAUGGGGAUCUGCCUGAUGGCGGGGGAUAACUACUGGAAACGGUAGCUAAUACCGCAUAAUGUCUGCGGACCAAAGCGGGGGACCUCCGGGCCUCGCGCCAUCAGAUGAACCCAUAUGGGAUUAGCUUGUAGGUGGGGUAACGGCUCACCUAGGCGACGAUCCCUAGCUGGUCUGAGAGGAUGACCAGCCACACUGGAACUGAGACACGGUCCAG